GAUGAAGAACGUAGCGAAAUGCGAUAAGUAAUGUGAAUUGCAGAAUUCAGUGAAUCAUCGAAUCCUUGAACGCACAUUGCGCCCGCCAGUAUUCUGGCGGGCAUGCCUGUUCGAGCGUCAUUUCAACCAUCAAGCCCCAGGCUUGUGUUGGGGACCUGCGGCUGCCGCAGGCCCUGAAAACCAGUGGCGGGCUCGCUGUCACACCGGGCGUAGUAGAUUUUAUCUCGCUCAGGGCGUGCUGCGGGUUCCGGCCGUUAAAAAGCCUUUUUUACCCAAGGUUGACCUCGUAUCAGGUAGGAAGACCCGCUGAACUUAAGCAUAUCAAUAAGCGGAGGA
rnacentral:misc_RNA from 1 species